rnacentral:rRNA from 1 species
GACGAACGCUGGCGGCGUGCCUAACACAUGCAAGUCGAACGAAGAAUGUUUUUCGGAAUAUUCUUAGUGGCGGACGGGUGAGUAACGCGUGAACAAUCUGCCCCGUACAAAGGGAUAGCCUCGGGAAACCGGGAUUAAAACCAUAUAACGCUUAACUGCCGCAUGGUAGUGAAGUCAAAUCGAUUAAGAGGUAUGGGAUGAGUUCGCGUCUGAUUAGCUAGUUGGUGAGGUAAGGGCUCACCAAGGCGACGAUCAGUAGCCGGCCUGAGAGGGUGAACGGCCACACUGGAACUGAGACACGGUCCAGACUCCUACGGGAGGCAGCAGUGGGGAAUAUUGCACAAUGGAGGGAACUCUGAUGCAGCGACGCCGCGUGAGUGAAGAAGGUCUUCGGAUCGUAAAACUCUGUCCUUGGUGAAGAAAGGACGGUAGCCAAGGAGGAAGCCCCGGCUAACUACGUG